UUUUUUCCCUAGUGUGCUCAGGGGGAAAAAAAAAUCAUAGCAAGAACUAAUAUAGGAUAAUAAUUUUUCCUUUGUAAUUAUCCAAACAAAAUCUACCAUGAAAAGAUUACACAAAAGGUCUAGUAUAUGACCUAAUUCUUUGAUUUCCCAGGUUAUUCCCUGCAGUAGCAUACGUGUAGCAGCAUGCAAAACGAAUACGGAUAUUCGCCACUUAGGUCUCCAAGCAAUACAGGACCAGUUGUUACAUGUACAAGGAUCAUAUAAAAAAAUAGGCUCCCCAGGGAGGUGGUUGAGUCCCCAUCCCUGGAUGUGUUUAAAAACUGUUUGAAUGUGGUGCUCAGGGACAGCAGAGGAUUUUAGAGACAGGGUAGUAUGGUUAGGUUGUGGCUGGAACAGAUGAUCUUUAGGGUCUUUUCCAACCUGAGCAAUUUUAUGAUUCUAUGAUUCCAGCAGUCUUGGUGCCUGAACCACCUCCGUACAGAGCCUGUUUUAGUGCCCAUCCACCCUCUCAGCAAAGAUCCUGUUCCUGACACAACGAUCUGAGCCUCUUCUGAUAUGGCUCCAUACUGUUCUCUGAUCCUGUUGCUGUCACCGGAGUGCAGAGCUCAGAUCUGCCCCUGCACUCCCUGUGGGGAGCUACAGCUGCCAUGAGACCUUCGCUCAGUCUCCUCUGCUCUGAGCUGAAUAAACCAAGUGACCUGAGUCACUCCUUAUAUAUACUGCUUUCUAGGACCAUCUUUCACAAUCUUUAUAGCCUUUCUUUGGAUGCUCUCUAAUAGUUUCAUGUCCUCUUACAUUGUGGCGUCCAUACUAUAUGCAGUACUCACAAGCAGACAGUCAUUACGGUAUAACAUUGCAGGGCUUAUGCAAAUAACUUAUAAUUUAUCAUCUUCAUAAGUUUUCUUCAUCUUUUUAUUGUCCACGGUAAAAAAGUGGUUCACUCUUCAUUUUACAAAGAUUAAUUUUGUUUUAAAAUUUAAUAUGUAUUCUUAAUUUCAAUAAAUUUUUCUUUUUAUAUAGCACAAGGGAAUUUAUGAAGGAGAGAAAGGACAGGAAAACAGAUCUCAUUCUUGACUUUUUUUUUAAUGUUUUAUUCAAAGAGUGUUUUACAGGCCUAUUUGUUCAAGAGAUUUAGUUCAGAAUAUACUUGUAAAGGUCAGGGGAUAUUGUUGUUUGCCUCAUUAUAUAGAGAUAUAUGUAUAUACAUUUGAUUAUAUAUGUAUUUGUAAUGAAAUAAUAGAGCUUACUCUAACAUGACUAGUUUUUAUUUUCAAUAUAAUUCACAAGUCAUGUUGGAAUGAGUAUUCCUGAAACAUAUAGAAUGGAUUUAUUUUGUGCUGCAUAGCUUUACUGAAGGGAAAACAACAACAUUCUUCUAAAAUGAUUAUCUCUGAGAUUUAUUUUUUCAUAAAAUACAGAUUGUAGGGACAGGAAGAAGCCUCCCACUUAUCACUCUCACAGGCAACUUUGUCAUAUAUGUCCCUGUAUAGAUUGGUUUAUCUCCAAGUUUACAUUGCUAAUAUAAAAGGAAAACCAUAUUCUACAUGCUUCACAUGAGGUAGGUAGAAAGUAAAGGUAUUAAGAUGAAAACUGUGUAGCCACAUCAUUCUUUUUUGUCCUUAUGACUUUAGUCCUUCCAAUUUCUGGGAUAUGAAAUGUAACAGAUGUUUAAGUGCAAAAUGUUUUGGUUGUUGUUGAGCAAUGGGUGCACCCUGGAGCCAGACCAGGACGCCCAGAGGGGAAAAGCUGCUGCCAUGAUGGCACAAGGCAGGGGUCAUCUGCAGAUGGGCUGUGCCAGGCCACAAAUUGGACAUGUCUCACCUAGAUGACCUCCCUUCAGAUUACUACAAUUCUGUGAUUGUGUGAGAAGACUUCUAAAAGAUGGGCAAAUAGUCUUCCUACCAAAAUAUGAGUCAGAUUUAAGACACAUUGUACGAUAGUAAGGAAAAGAAUAUGAAAUUGAGAUGGGUCUUCCUGAGUGUUAAUACUGGAUUUCUUAAAAGCCAGGCACUGCAAAUAAUAUCUAUGGGAACUGCUAAGUUGUGGCCUGAACCACUGAUUGAUCACCUGGGGAAAGGACCUGGUCAGCCUUGGGAGCACAGGCGAAGGUAAUUCAUCUGUGUGAGCAGGUGUGGAGCCUGGCUGCACCUUUCUUAAACCUCAUUGAAGGGCUGACUAUCACUGGGGAAGGAUUUCUUUUGGUGAUCUUGCCUUGGGGAAACUUUUUCUUGUGAAUCUAGAAUCUUCUGAUACAGGUUGAGAGAAGUGAUUCUGCCCCUUUACUCUGUGCUGGUGAGGCUUCACCUGAAAGUGUCCAAAUGUGGAGUCCUCAGUGCAGGAGCAACAUAGACCUGUUAGAGUAUCCAGAGGAGGACCACAGAAAUGAUCCAUGGAAUGAAACACCUUUCCUUUGAGGAUAGGCUGAGAGAGGUGGGGCAGUUCAUCCUGGAGAAGGCUGUGAGGGGAAUUGGACUAGAUGG